GAAAACGGCUGUCUAUCAACCAGGAAGAGGCCCUCACCAGAAUCCGCCACACUGACACCCUGAUCUCAGGAUUCCAGCCUCCAGAACUGCGAGAAAUAAAUUUCUGUUGUUAAUAAGCCACCUAGUCUAUGACAUUCCAUUAUAGCCUCCCUGGCAGAUGAAGACGCUCAGUCUCCCAGUUUGUCAAACAAGCUGAGCGCUCAGCUAUCUGGGAGAAGAGGCCCCGUCCCGUCUCGGCUGCAGCAGAUGAAGACUGGACCAUAUGCCGAUCGCUUGGCUGGACCCGUGAAUCUGAGAGACUUCCCAUUCCAUUUUCAAAACUUCCAGCAAAGCCAGAUGUAUGAGAAAAAAGACAUCCGGCCUCUGUAAGUUUUGACACAGUAGGAAACAGACUGAUCCCUGGAAGAUCAAUACAAAAGGCAACGCGGCAGUUCGACAGCUGAAAAUACAGGCGGCGGCAGCCAGCCACGCCUGUGGGCAGGGGAGAGGGAGUAGAAUGUACUUACGGACCCAGUAAUACUGACCAUAUUGAAGGGUAAGUGGCAUCCAAAGCGAGGCUGGCACUUGCUAAAGUGGUAGUAAACCAGAGCACACCUUCAGUGCCGGAGAAGAACGUUUCUGUCGCUCCCUGGAACUGCUCCUGGAAAUGCCAUGGCUCAGAUGAAGCCCACACAUGCCCAUACCCACAGCUUCAGUUUUUUA
rnacentral:lncRNA from 1 species